UACAGAGGGGGCAAGCGUUGUUCGGAAUUACUGGGCGUAAAGGGCGCGUAGGCGGCCUGUUAAGUCGAACGUGGAAUCCCCGGGCUCAACCCGGGAACUGCGUCCGAUACUGGAUGGCUUGAAUCCGGGAGAGGGAUGCAGAAUUCCAGGUGUAGCGGUGAAAUGCGUAGAUAUCUGGAGGAAUACCGGUGGCGAAGGCGGCAUCCUGGACCGGCAUUGACGCUGAGGAGCGAAAGCCAGGGGAGCAAACGGG
rnacentral:rRNA from 1 species